CCUGAACUCAGAUCACGUAAGAAUCUAAAAGUUUAACCUGCCCACUGAUAUAUUUAAAUGGCCGCAGUAUAUUAACUGUGCAAAGGUAGCAUAAUCAUUAGUCUUUUAAUUGAAGGCUGGAAUGAAUGGUUGGACGAAAUAUUUACUGUUUCAUAUUUAUUUAUAUUAGAAUUUUAUUUUUUAGUAAAAAAGCUAAAAUAAUAUUAAAAGACGAGAAGACCCUAUAAAUCUUUAUAUUUAAUUAAUUUUUAUAUAUUAGAAAUUAAAUUAUAUUUAUUAAUUUAAAUAUUUUAUUGGGGUGAUAUUAAAAUUUAAUUAACUUUUAAUAUUAAAAACAUUAAUUUAUGAAUUAUUGAUCCAAUAAUAUUGAUUAUUAGAAUAAGUUACUUUAGGGAUAACAGCGUAAUUUUUUUGGAGAGUUCAUAUUGAUAAAAAAUAUUGCGACCUCGAUGUUGGAUUAAGAAAUAAAUUUAGGUGUAGAAGCUAAAAAAUUAAUCCGGCCGCACAGUGCCCCCCG
rnacentral:rRNA from 1 species